rnacentral:rRNA from 1 species
UAGCAUGGGGGCACCCUGACCGCAAUGCCGCGUGAGUGAAGAAGGCCUUCGGGUUGUAAAGCUCUUUUGUCAGGGAAGAAACACCGGCUCUAACACAGUCCGGGAAUGACGGUACCUGAAGAAUAAGCACCGGCUAACUACGUGCCAGCAGCCGCGGUAAUACGUAGGGUGCGAGCGUUAAUCGGAAUUACUGGGCGUAAAGCGUGCGCAGGCGGUUAUACAAGACAGGCGUGAAAUCCCCGGGCUUAACCUGGGAAUGGCGCCUGUGACUGUAUAGCUAGAGUGUGUCAGAGGGGGGUAGAAUUCCACGUGUAGCAGUGAAAUGCGUAGAUAUGUGGAGGAAUACCAAUGGCGAAGGCAGCCCCCUGGGAUAACACUGACGCUCAUGCACGAAA